AGACGUAGGUCCCGAACGUUGCGCGAAAUUACUGGACGUAAAGGGUCCGUAGGCGGUCUGGUAAGUGGAAGGUGAAAGCCUGGGGCUCAACUCCAGAAUUGCCUUCCAAACUGCCGGACUUGAGGCAGGGAGAGGUCGGCGGAAUUCCCGGUGUAGUGGUGAAAUGCGUAGAGAUCGGGAGGAACACCAGUGGCGAAGGCGGCCGACUGGAACUGUCCUGACGCUGAGGGACGAAAGCCAGGGGAGCGAACCGGAUUAGAAACCCGAGUAGUCC
rnacentral:rRNA from 1 species